ensembl:lncRNA
GUUGGUGUCAACGUAAUUGAUUACAGGUUUAAAAAAAUAAUAAUAAAAAAACCAUCAUAUUACAUGUAACUGGAUUACAUGAAUUUAGUUACUCCCAAAUCCUGAUACACACACACAUAUAAAACCCUUAUUCAUCAGACAAAAUAAAGAUACAUUAUUAUAUCAUUUGGACAGUAUUGUGUAGUCAUGCCUAGUCAAAAAUCAUUUUUGUAGUUUAAUAGAAAAAACAUUGACCUUUUUAUUAAGAUAAUCCUGCAUUGGAUUGAAGUGUUGUAGUUAUUGUAUUGGAUGGCAUUUCUCAGGCAGAAAUCUAAGGGAAAAAAUGUCACAAUAUUUUAUUAUGAAUGUCUUGUUGUACUGUGAUCCAGCUCUAUACUGGUGCCUAUUUUGUGUUCUAUUAAUGUGCCUCAUGGCCCCAUGAGAGCCAAUUGGACAUUCAUUCCUGGCUCUCUUCCUGGCAGGCCAGUCCUCUGCGUCACACCCCAGGCAGUGGCACCUCUUCCUAUUGUUGGACUGAGACUCAACUCUCAGUCUCUUGUAGGAAUGCAGAGAUCUCAACUGGAGAAGCAAAAAAAUAAAAAAUAAAAAUAAAAUAGUACUAUAAGUGAAUGGACAGUGUGUGGCCUAUUUGUUUGCAUAUAUGAUUUUAUUUUUUCAUUUGCAGAGUCUUAUAAGCAUAUGUGGGCUGGGCAUCCUAAAGAUGCAAUACACUAUAAUGAAUGAAAUCAUACUACGCUACACCCUAAGAGCCCUUACGUGUAUCUGUGUUCCAGAGGUCCUCCUUAGUGAAUGCAGAGCAUACGUACAUCUGAGAUCCACAUAUUUCAUAGUUCCUCCUAAGUAAUAUUUUUUAUUUAAUUCAACUAGGCAAGUCAGUUAAGAACAAAUUCUUAUUUACAAUGGUGGCCUAGGAAGAGUGGGUUAACUGCCUUGUUCAGGGGCAGAACAACAGAUUUUUACCUUGUCAGCUCAGGGAUUUGAUAAAACAACCUUUUGGUUACUGGCCCAAUGCUCUAACCACUAGGCUACCUGUAAUAGUAGAGCAUACAUUUGAGGUGGCUGUCUCAGAAUGCUUGCUGUGGGUGGAGCCAGAGUAUCGGGAAAUAUCCUCAGAGUCUAGGAUGGAGUGGUUGUUGUUGUAAUGUACAUACCCUCUUCAUUGUCCACAUGAGUUGCAGAGCGGCAGGGAAUGUCCCGGGACUCCAGGAAGAACCUGGUGGUUGUUCACAUGUUACAUUUUAUUUAACUAGUACAACACAUCAUCCUCAGGAGUUAAAAAGCAAUGGGGACAGUCCUGGGGAGUCCAAGUCCUCUGGUUAAGAGUCUCCCUGGAGCUGUUGGACUGCUUGGGGCUCCCUGCUCUGCUGGAGUCAGGAGUCCAGACACAGGGUGACUUUGUGGAUCAACAAGGAUAACGUGACAGAUGGUAAAGAGAGUGAAACAAUACUCAAACAAACCAAUCCAAUGCAAAAUCAAGCAAAUUAGACAAAUUAGGCAAACUAGCACACGAGACAGAGGUAGAACUCGUAACUGACAGGUAGCCAGGGUUGUCAUAGUGAUUAUAACCAGACUGGAACGAUUGGCUCCAGGCUUUCAAGUGAGGCAAUACCCAAUCUGUAGAUCAAGAGGGGGAAAAAAUUGCAGAUCAAGCAAUUUACCAGAAAAAUGAAUUUACUAAUAAUCAAAGUUUAGCAGACUAAGCAGCAUGGUAGAGAAAGAUCUUACCCGAGAGGUGGUUUCAGCUACUUUAGAGCUCCUCGUUCCUAUUAAGAGAGUAGACAUCAGUGGUCUCAGACCAACAGGAUUGGGACAACCCAGAGUGGUGAAGACGUUCCUGGGGAGUCAAAGCCCUCUGGUCAGGAGACUCCCCGGGUCUCCAGAAGCAGGGUAGGUAUGUGGAUCAACAGGGACAAAGUGUCAGAUGGUAAAGAGAGUGGAACAACACACUGAAACAAACAAAUUGUUAUGUGCCCCAGUUUCUGUGUUGUGGUUUUGUUUGGAUGUGUGUGUUUCAGGAUGGCUUCCGGAAAUUCUAAGCAGCUGAUUGGUCAGCCCCAUCAAUGAUUGGAGAUCUGACCCCACCCUCUAAUCAGGAGAUACAGCUGUCUUCAAUUAUCGACUCCUUCUGAAGCUUUAAAAGCCAGUGUUCGUUUGUUAGGAGAGAGAGCUGAUGGUUAUGUCCUGUGUUGGUUGUUGCUCAGAGACAGGUCCCCAUAGGACGCAGUGUUUUUGUUUAUUGAAAUGGUUUACUUAUGUUUGUAUUCGUUUUAAUUUGUUCCCAGGGGGGAAGAGAGUGCUUAGGCAAGUGACCUGCGGGCAUAAAUAUACCCGAGUAUGUACUUUGUCUAUGCACACUAGGUAAGACCCGUCUGGACCAUCCCCUGUAUUUUGGUUAGUGCGCCAGGUGGUGCUUGUUAGGUAAGUUGUGAGUAGGUAAAGUAGGAGAGGGGGAACUUUAACUUUCUCUGCUUUGGUUCCGUCCAGCCCCUUUUUCCAAAAUUGCUGUGUGACUGAAUAAAUUCCCUGUAAAAGGUUAAUUCUCUGCCUUUGUCAUCCUUACUUGCACCUACAGUCCCAUACCUCUUUCACUCCACGGGGAGUUGAGUUGUAGCAGGGUGUUGCGUUCCCUCUUCCUAGAGGUCGUGCGUAACACCAAUCCAAUAGCAAAUUAGAUCAACUGGACAUAGAUGGAACUCCUAGCUGUUAGGUAGUCAAUGUCUUUUGGACUGAGAGGACUGGGCUCCAUUGGACAAGCUGUCCUGAGACAUGUCCAGGAAGGCAGUUGACCCAUAACUCUCCCAAGCAGAUGACCACAUAAUUGACAUCCUCAUCAACAAUUGAUUAUGCAACAAACUGAACCAAAUCUUCAGGGGUACUGAUAUGUCAUGAAUCAAAAUAAAAUGAUGCAACCUAUUGGAAAAAAUAAUUUACCAAUAUUCAAAGUUCAGCAAAGAUCUCUAUGGUAGAGGUGUUUAAAAAAAAUAUUUUUCUUAGCUCUUACCUGAGAAGUGGUUCACAAAGUUGGUUGAAUGGAUCACAUUGUCAUCCUCAUCAACACCAGGGUUGGAGGGAAUGGAGUCAUCAAUGAACUUAACAUGAUCUCCAGGGGUCCUAUUGGGACCCAAGCCUGGUGUUGAAAAGGAUGGGUGAUCAUUUGCAUUCAUAGUUGCAUCCAUAGUCAUCCAUCUGCACUGUAUGAGCAAGAUGUCUGUUCUGAAUUAAUUGUGAUAAAUUGUCUUUUGGUGAUAAUGUUUGAAUUUGACAUGACCUUUAUUCUGGUAAGAUCAUGCAACCUUUACAAUUGUAAUGAUAUUUCAACAAUAUUGCUUUAGCCAUAGGCAAUAUACCAAUCGUGUUCUAUAUCUAUGGUUUUAGCCACAGCUACAAAAAAAAUAUUUCUAUGUGGUUUUAACAGCCAUCUCCAUGGUAAUCAAAUUCUAAUGAAUGGUGCAUAGAGGCACGGAAUACAAUGUUUUGUCAUUUAAAUGUUUUUAAUUUAUGUAUGAAUUCUGAAUGGCUAAUGCUUUAUAAGGUACAAUUACUAAAUAAGAGCGAGUCUACAAGGACCUGGCCGGUUCUCUUGUAGAUAAUGUUUAUUUUGAUGCAGUAUUCGGUAUAGAAGUCUAGUUGAUUCAAGUACAGUUACAUCAAUCUCUUAACAGGUGAGCUCUGCAGAUGAUUUAAAAUAAAAUAUUCAUCUUUUGUUUUGGUCAAACAUUUCUUCCUAGGUGUUGGCCUUUCUAGGGAGUUUUUCCUAGCCGCCGUGCUUCUACACCUGCAUUGCUUGCUGUUUGGGGUUUUCGGCUGGGUUUCUGUACAGCACUUUGAGAUAUCAGCUGAUGUCAGAAGGGCUAUAUAAAAACAUUUGAUUUGAUUUAUUUAAUUCAUAUGACUUUAAAAGCAGUUGUUACAGUUUGUACACUAUGCACAAUGUAGAACGCAUCCGACAUGACACAUUUAUUUUAGUAACUUUUCUCCAAAUAUUAGAUAUGACAUAUCAGGUGUUGUAUGCCAACUUUCGAAGAAACUACUGCAAAAAAUAUACGCUUAGACAUUUUGAUAACUCAAUUUUAUAACCCAUUUUUAAGAAUCAAUUUCCACAUUGUUAUGAUGGUAAAUUAUAAGUAUGAAUACAGCUAAAUAAUAAAAGGCGUAAAACACAUAUUCCAGUUGUACAGUUUAUGACUACGUUCACAGAUAUGAAUUACACCUCAAUGCGUCAGUACAAAUAUUUCAAAAACCUUCUAUAACCCAAUAUAUAUGUUUUAAAAAGUGCAUAAAUUGUCAAUCUGUCUUUCACAACAUGCUAGCGAGGACUAGGUAAUAACUGAGUUAUUAUGCAAUAUCUGUAAAGAUGUUUGCUUUUGUAUUGGAGAAAGUCUUUAGCCUGAGUGCCAGUCUGUUUGUGCUAUCAUGCCAACUCCUUGUACUGGGCAUUUUUGGUUUGUCAAUGAGCAAUUGAGUUAGCAAGAGCACAACCAGAUCUGAGACCAGGCUAGGUCUUUGCAAGUGAAAAAUCUAAGAAAACAUGGAAGUCAUCAUGCAAAUCACUGGCAAAAGAAAAUGUGCCUAAAAAAAUAGGAUAUUUAUGAAAAUGUCAUAAUUGGAAACUUCAUCUUACAGAAAUCUCAAUAAGAAAAAGCAGAAUUAAUUACCGUACCAUACAUUAGGUCACUCAUCUAUGAUCGUAAAUAGCUAUCUUCUGUGUAUUAUGUUUUACAUAGUACUGAUUUAUAAAUGGGUAUGAUGGUAUGGUUGAAUAGCUUUCUGUAGCCAUAUUAAUCGUCAUAUUCUUCAAUAAAUCCCUUUAAACCCAUUUGGUUUGGACUCACAUAGGGGAAUCAUUAUCACUUAUUAAAUCACCUAAAUCUCUCAAAAGCACAUAUGAGCCCUCACAUACAGUAUCUCAAUACCCCUCAUAUACAAGCAAACAAACAAAAACAGAGUAAGCUAGACCUACAACCAGUAUAGUAUUCAUGUGGAAUGGAAACCAGGUUUUGCCGUGCUAACUACUACUGCUACUGUUUAAAUUCAAGCAAUGUUUUAAACCAUUUUGCAAGGGACAAGUCAAGGUAUUUCCUCCCUCUUUCAAUACAUUUUCUUCCGCUUGUACCCACUGAACACGACCCAGUUUAAACCAGAGAACCAAUGCUGAGUAGACAAACCAGCAGAGCAGCAGUGAUCAAUGCUAAAGGGAAGUGAGGACCUCUAGUGGCAGAAGAAGGAACGUUCAGAGACCCAUCCAGCUUGAGGCAGGAUGUUAUGGAGGUGUUGCAGCACUCUUGGUGGCAUGUACCUGUUGUGGUCGUACACCAAGUGUUUCUUGUGCAGUCGGCAUUGCAGCCUCCCAUCCACAUCGUUGUUGAACCAAUUGUCAUCUUUUUCAACUGAAAAGAGAAACGUGGAUUGAGAAUGCAUGAAGUUAGAUGAGUUGAAGGAUGUACAAGAUUGGCGAAAAGGAAAUUCUCUCGUCUGAGUGAUGUUAUUGAGACGAUAACAGAUAAUCGUUCUUGUCGUGGCCAAAUGUAUUUUCCUUCUUUCGUUAUAAAAUUCUUAAAGUGUACAUUUUGUAUCCUACAGCAUUUACAGUUCAAUGAAGCAUGUCUAGUUUGUCUACUAUGGGUAUAGACUGAUGAAUAGGGUAGUGUGGGGGUGCACUAUUAAGCCUACCUCACAGUAGGGCUGGUUGAGGGGACAAGGCAUUGGGUCUUUGGUUAUCCAAGUCUUGUAACAGUUCUGCUCUGUGCACUGAAACAUCUGGCACUUCUUAAGUUUCUGUAAAUAGAUGGAUGAUGUUAACAAAGGCUGGUAAAUUCACAGACUUUGAGUCCUACACACACACACACACACACACACACACACACACACACACACACACACACACACACACACACACACACACACACACACACACACA